UACAGAGGUGCCGAGCGUUAGGCGGAAUCACUGGGCUUAAAGCGUGUGUAGGCGGACGUCUAAGUACCUUGUGAAAUCCCACGGCUCACCCGUGGAACUGCUGGGUAUACUGGGCGUCUUGAGCCACCUAGGGGCCAGCGGAACAAAUGGUGGAGCGGUGAAAUGCGUAGAUAUCAUUUGGAACGCCAACGGUGAAAAACAGCUGGCUGGGGGGUGUGCUGACGCUGAGACACGAAAGCCAGGGGAGCGAACGGG
rnacentral:rRNA from 1 species